UGGAUCAGUGAUGACCACUGGUGGCGUAUGAGUCACGGACGAUGACUACCACAUGUCUGGAACUCUGAGGUCCAA
ensembl:snoRNA small nucleolar RNA, C/D box 114-31